GUCCCCCAGUCCUGUCUGGCGAUUGUAGUCCCAGUCCUGUCUGGUGAUUGUAGUCCCCCCAGUCCUGUCUGGUGAUUGUAGUCCCCCCAGUCCUGUCUGGUGAUUGUAGUCCCCCCAGUCCUGUCUGGCGAUUGUAGUCCCCCCAGUCCUGUCUGGUGAUUUCCCCCCCAGUCCUGUCUGGUGAUUGUAGUCCCCCCCAGUCCUGUCUGGUGAUUGUAGUCCCAGUCCUGUCUGGCGAUUGUAGUAUCCCCAGUCCUGUCUGGUGAUUGUAGUCCCAGUCCUGUCUGGCGAUUGUAGUCCCCCCAGUCCUGUCUGGCGAUUGUAGUCUCCCCCAGUCCUGUCUGGUGAUUGUAGUCCCCCCCAGUCCUGUCUGGUGAUUAUAGUCCCAGUCCUGUCUGGCGAUUAGUCCCUCAGUCCUGUCUGGUGAUUGCAGUCCUCCCCAGUCCUGUCUGGUGAUUGUAGUCCCCCAGUCCUGUCUGGUGAUUGUAGUCCCCCCAGUCUUGUCUGGUGAUUGUAUCCUCCCCAGUCCUGUCUGGUGAUUGUAGUCCUCCCCAGUCCUGUCUGGUGAUUGUAGUCCCCCCAGUCCUGUCUGGUGAUUGUAGUCCCAGUCCUGUCUGGUGAUUGCAGUCACCCCAGUCCUGUCUGGUGAUUGCAGUCCCCCCAGUCCUGUCUGGUGAUUGUAGUCCCCCCAGUCCUGUCUGGUGAUUGUAGUCCCAGUCCUGUCUGGUGAUUGCAGUCACCCCAGUCCUGUCUGGUGAUUGCAGUCCCCCCAGUCCUGUCUGGUGAUUGUAGUAUCCCCAGUCCUGUCUGGUGAUUGUAGUAUCCCCAGUCCUGUCUGGUGAUUGUAGUCCCAGUCCAGUCCGGUGAUUGUAGUCCCA
rnacentral:lncRNA from 1 species